GACGAACGCUGGCGGCGUGCUUAGCACAUGCAAGUCGAACGGAAAGGCCCUGCUUUUGUGGGGUGCUCGAGUGGCGAACGGGUGAGUAACACGUGAGUAACCUGCCCUUGACUUUGGGAUAACUUCAGGAAACUGGGGCUAAUACCGGAUAGGAGCUCCUGCUGCAUGGUGGGGGUUGGAAAGUUUCGGCGGUUGGGGAUGGACUCGCGGCUUAUCAGCUUGUUGGUGGGGUAGUGGCUUACCAAGGCUUUGACGGGUAGCCGGCCUGAGAGGGUGACCGGCCACAUUGGGACUGAGAUACGGCCCAGACUCCUACGGGAGGCAGCAGUGGGGAAUAUUGCACAAUGGGCGGAAGCCUGAUGCAGCAACGCCGCGUGCGGGAUGACGGCCUUCGGGUUGUAAACCGCUUUCGCCUGUGACGAAGCGUGAGUGACGAUAAUGGGUAAAGAAGCACCGGCUAACUACGUG
rnacentral:rRNA from 1 species